CGGUGCCAGCCCAGGCUCCGCCCCUGGGAGGGCGCUUCCGGCACAGCGGAACUCCGGGUGCCGGGUGAGGCUGCUCGUGGACCUGCUCUGUGGUCUUGGAUGAGGCCCCAUGAGCGCGGCGCCCCUGGUGGGCUACAGCAGCAGCGGCUCCGAGGAUGAGUCCGAGGACGGGAGGCAGACCAGGCCGGGGAACGGGAGCCACCGUCGUGGCCAGAGCCCCCUUCCCAGGCAGAGAUUUCCAGUACCUGACAGUGUGCUGAACAUGUUCCCGGGCACCGAGGAGGGGCCUGAAGAUGACAGCACAAAACACGGGGGACGGGUGCGCACCUUCCCCCACGAGCGGGGCAACUGGGCCACCCACGUCUAUGUACCAUAUGAAGCCAAGGAGGAGUUCCUGGAUCUGCUUGACGUGUUGCUCCCCCAUGCCCAGACAUACGUCCCCCGCCUGGUAAGGAUGGAAGCGUUCCACCUCAGCCUGUCCCAGAGUGUGGUUCUGCGCCACCACUGGAUCCUCCCCUUUGUGCAGGCUCUGAAAGCCCGCAUGGCCUCCUUCCAGAGAUUCUUCUUUACUGCCAACCAGGUAAAGAUUUACACCAAUCAAGAGAAAACCAGGACCUUUAUUGGGCUCGAGGUCACUUCAGGGCACGCCCAGUUCCUGGACCUAGUUUCAGAGGUGGACAGAGUCAUGGAGGAAUUCGACCUCACCACUUUCUACCAGGACCCUUCUUUCCACCUCAGCCUGGCCUGGUGCGUGGGUGAUGCACGUCUCCAGCUGGAGGGGCAGUGCCUGCAGGAACUACAGGUGAAUUUCCAGGGCGGGAACACAGAGCGCGCUGAACUCCAGAAAUGACGGGACAGAUGCUGGAGAGGAGGAGGAUGAGGCACCCAAACCCGAAUCCCUGGGAAACAAAUGACAUGGCAGGAGACCCCAACACCUUCCCUUGCAACUCAAGGCAAUCGUGGAUGGGUUUGAAGAUGCUGAGGUGCUGCUGCGCGUGUACAUCGAGCAAGUCCGCUGCAAGUCUGGGAACAAGUUCUUCUCGAUGCCUUUGAAGUGAGCACCAGAGGCCUUCCUCCUCCAGGGCCCUCUGCAGACCAGGCUGAGAUGGAGGAACCUGCUAAAAUCAAUGGAGAUGCUUCUAGCCUCCCAGUAGGAGGUCCCAGCUAUGCCUUCAGCCUGGCAGAAAGUGUAGCCACUCCUCAUCCUCCGAGUGCUCGCUCUCGCUCGCUCUCUCCCGCUCUCUCUCUCUCUCCCGCUCUCUCUCUCUCACACUCGCUCUCUCUCUCUCUCUCCCCCCCCCCUCCCCCUCUUUCUCUUUCUCUUUCUCUUCCCCUCCCUCUCUCUUCCUCUCCUCUCUUAGCUGUUGCGGGUUGUAGGUUGGGUGCGACUGUGUUGUGGUCCUUCCCAGAAACUGCCAGUAGAGGGCAGCCUGGGCAUCCUAAUUCUUACUCUGGUUGUUAAGCAAAGAAAAUACUGGGGUCAGUGGUGAGCCCACCCACACUCGCCAGAAUCUCCACUGUAGUCCCCCUAACAAACAGCCCUUCACUCCCUCUCCCACUUCAGCAAUUUGUAUUUUGAUGCCAUUGGCCUCAGAUCAGAGUGUUUUAAAUCAUCACGCCCUGGCUUAUCCCUGGCCAAGCCAGGACACGGGGUGCUUCAGUGGGUCUGUCACCCUCUCUCCUUGAAGCAUGUCGCUUUUAUUUAUUUACUUUUACUCUCACCCUGCUCCUGUGCCAGCAGGGGCUACUUCAAGGCCAAGGUCCAGGAUGAGAACUUGUGACCCAGCCUCAGUUUUCUCCACUUCUUUCUCCCUCUUUCUCCCGCUCACUCUAGCAAGGUGCCUGGGGAGACUUGAACAGAUGUUUCAUUUUGGCCUGGCCAGUGGCUGAAAGCCAGGCCUCCAAUGCACUGUGACCUCUGGCUUCCCCAGCAGCUUUCCCAGAGAGGCAGAGGGGCCUUCCACAGCCUGGGUUCUGCUGCUGCCUCCUGCCUGCUGCAGCUGCAGCAUUCUGAGGGGCAACGUGGAGGAAGGGCCAGGGAUGCAUGGGAUUUUAACUUUUUCAUCAAACCUUCCGCGUGGCAAGGAGUCAGUCAGUCCUCUUCAGGUGUCUUCUGGAUUUCUGGUGAUGGAUAGAGAAAUCUUUUUAUGUUACAGUUUUAAAUUAUGUUCAACAAAUAAAAAAUUGCAUUUCUUAUUUUGGA